CGAGUGGCGGACGGGUGAGUAAUGUCUGGGAAACUGCCUGAUGGAGGGGGGAGUAACUACUGGAAACGGCUGCUAAUACCGCAUAAGCGCACAGUACCGCAUGGUACGGUGUGAAAAACUCCGGUGGUAUGAGAUGGACCCGCGUCUGAUUAGGUAGUUGGUGGGGUAACGGCCUACCAAGCCGACGAUCAGUAGCCGACCUGAGAGGGUGACCGGCCACAUUGGGACUGAGACACGGCCCAA
rnacentral:rRNA from 1 species